CACAGAGCUUGUAGGUGCAGAGAACAGGACCCCUCAGCUGGGUCCAUUUUCGGGGGCAGUGAGCCAGACAACCGUGGCUGGCUGGGUGACCAGGAGAGAGGAGCCGUGGCUGGCUGGGGACUAGCAGAGAGGCACCGUGGCUGGCCGGGGGCUAGCAGAGAGGAGCCGUGGCUGGCUGGGGACUAGCAGAGAGGAGCCGUGGCUGGCCGGGGAUUAGCAGAGAGGAGCCGUGGCUGGCUGGGGGCUAGCAGAGAGGAGCCGUGGCUGGCCGGGGGCUAGCAGAGAGGCACCGUGGCUGGCCGGGGACUAGCAGAGAGGAGCCGUGGCUGGCCGGGGACUAGCAGAGAGGAGCCGUGGCUGGCUGGGGACUAGCAGAGAGGAGCCGUGGCUGGCCGGGGUCUAGCAGAGAGGAGCCGUGGCUGGCCGGGGACUAGCAGAGAGGAGCCGUGGCUGGCCGGGGACUAGCAGAGAGGAGCCGUGGCUGGCCGGGGGCUAGGAGAGAGGCACCGUAGCUGGCCAGGGGCCAGCAGAGCGGAAUGAGCAGCUGGGGGUGGGGGGCAGCCAAAGCAAGUUCUCAGAGGGACCCCCCCUGUGAGUGGGGUGGGGUGGAGGGAGACUGGGGGGCACAGACAAGGAACUGGUGGUUGUAGGUCUCAGGAACAGGAGGCGGAUGUUCUGCCCCCGACACCCUGGUGUGGGCGUCCCGCUCACAGUGUUACGUGUAUGAAUCCGGCUUGUGGCAUUUUCCCUAAUUAACGCCGGGCGACGUCCCUCCUCUCGUUAAGAGUCUCUUUUCUACACUCAGACUCUGUGCGUGCAAGGGGGGGAAGUUUUACCUCUCAGCGGCGCCCGGGGUGGGCGGUAAUUGUCCCAGGUCACUGGGUGGGGGCUGGAGCCGGUUCUGGGUUGUGUCGGUGCAGAGGAACCCCUAGAUAUUGAACCCGGCCCGGGUGGCUGCCAGCUCCACCUGGCAGGAGGGUUACAAGUUCAGCCCCUCGUUGCGUGGCCAGCUGGACUGAAGGUAAAGGUUAUUUACUGAUCUUUGUGCAGGGAGAAAUCUCAGCUGCAAAGGACACGGCCAGCAGCUCCGACAGGAUCAGGCGGGACCCAGCCUGCGCCUUCAGCCAGGAAGCCCUGAGGCAGCACCCCCCCGAAUCCCACCUGCUCCCCCCGGCUAGGUCCCCCAGAAACCAGCCUGCUCCCCCCGGCUAGGACCCCCAGAAACCAGCCUGCUGCCCCUGGCUAGGAAUCCCCCAAGGGGUCCCUAUCCCUGAGCAGGGCUCCCCACCCCGCCCCUUGAAGCAGGUGCCAUGGCAGCGCCAAAGACCUACUCUAGGGUCUUGCAAGAAUCCCAGGACGUCUUCCACCGCUUCCCCCUCCAGCUGGUCCACGGGAUCCCGCUCAUGGAGCCCAUCGCCCAGCAGUGGGGCCCCAUCGAGGACUUCCAGGCCUGGCCUGACGACCUCCUCAUCUCCACCUACCCCAAGGCGGGGACCACGUGGAUGCAGGAGAUCGUGGACCUGAUCCUGGUCCGAGGGGACGUGGAAAAAGCCUGCCGAGCCCCGACCCACAUCCGGAUCCCCUUCCUGGAGAUCUGCUCUCCUCCCCCAGUGCCCUCAGGCGUGCAGCAGCUGGCGAAUGUUCCUCCCCCCCGAGUCAUCAAGACCCACCUGCCCUUCCAGCUGGUUCCCAAGUCCUUCUGGGAGAAUAGAUGCAAGGUGAUCUACGUGGCCCGAAAUGCCAAGGAUAACUUGGUCUCGUAUUACUUCUUUGACCAGAUGAACAAGACGCAGCCCGAGCCGGGGCCCUGGGAGCUCUAUCUGCAGAAGUUCAUGGAUGGGAAACUGGCCUGGGGCUCGUGGUAUGACCACGUCUGUGGAUACUGGGCUGAACGGGCCAAUCACCGCAUCCUCUACGUCUUCUAUGAGGACAUGAAAGAGGACCAGGCCCGGGAGAUCCGCAGGGUCAUGGACUUCUUGGAGGUGGAGCUGCCUCCAGGGGUGCUGGAGAAAAUCGUCCAGCAAACGUCCUUCCAGAUCAUGAAGGAGAACCCCAUGGCCAACUAUAGCAGUAUGCCCAGCGUCAUCUUUGACCAGACCGUCAGCCCCUUCAUGCGCAAGGGCGAGGUUGGCGACUGGAAGAACCAUUUCACCGUGGCGCAGAGCGAGGCAUUCGACGCCCAUUACCAGCGCCGCAUGGAGGGGACCGGCCUGCACUUCCGGACCCAGAUCUAGGGCCCGCCCCGCAGGUGCUGACAGCCCCCCCGCCCCCGGGAACAGCGCUGCAAUAAAAGUUUAUCUCCUGACCCUGGACAUUGUGAUACCUGGGAGGGCGUGUCCCAGAGGUGGGAGUGGGGCCUGGUGCCUCAGGAAACUUCCCCUUCAGCCCGAGACAGGAUGUGCCCACGAUGGCCCCCCCGCCUCCCUCCCCGAGUGUCCUCCCGUCGCCUGGGGCACAGGUGCUGCUUGGAGGGGGCAGACACCGCACUGCCGGCUGCUCCCUCAGGCUGGCUCUGACUCUCGCAGGCCUGGUCUCCGCUAGGAAUGUUCUCCGGCAUAGCGACAGCCCUCAGAGGUGUGAAAAUCUACACACUUGAGAGAUGCCGGUAUACCAACCUCAGCCCCAGCGUAGGCAGCGCUAGGUGGACGGACGAAUUCUCCAAGCGGCCUGGCUACUGCCUCUCGGGGAGGUGGAUGCCUACGCGGAUGGGCGAAGCCCUGGCGCACACAGCGUCUUCACUGACGCGCUGGUUAGAUAAGUCGGUGACGGCGCUCCUGGGCUCCGACGUGCUCCUGACGUGCAGCUUCCGCGCGGCCCCGUGCGGGGCGGGCGCGGGGCGGGCAGCUGCGGGUGACCUGGUACUUCCAGGGCCAGGCGCUGAUGGAGCUGGACGGCAUCACGGUCACCACGAGGAAGGGGGCAGAGUCUUUGCCCCGGAGCUGCCCAGGGGCAACGCUUCGCUCCUCCUGCCCCGCGUCACGCUGGCCGAGCAGGGCCCCUACCGCUGCUCCGUGCACUACGGGGGGCAGCGCGGAGAGGGCAGCGUCCGCUUACGGGUGGCAGGUAGCGUCACGCCCUGGCCUCGCCCCGUGCUCCCGGCCAGGUGGGGCUGCGGCACUGGGCCCCUGACGAGCUCGGCCCCGGCCCCGGGAUGGCUGCCAGGGUAACCAAAAGCCAACGAGUAACAGCCCAAUGUCCUGACAACAGGGCUCGGGCUGACUCGGGGGCCCUGGACCUCACACCCUGCUCUGUGAGCGCUCGCUCACCCUCAUCCUCUGCUCCAUGCACCCUUCAGGGGCUGGCCGGGCAACCCAGGCCUGCUCAGGGCCCCACAGUGCCCAGUAAACCCCCCAAAACACAAACCAACCUCUGCCCUCCUGGGGCUGGACCUUCCCCCACAGCCUGUUCCUCCAUUGGACCCUCCCUCCCUGGAGGGCAGAUCCUGCCUUUACCUCCCCACUGGGGCUUAUUCCCCCGGCGGCUGCUCCGUGGGGCUCCUGGCCUCUUACCGACUUCGCUACUCGGGAGAGGAGCCCAGAGCCGCCCCCAAACUCUCGAAUCCCAGACAAGAGCAGGGUUCCUCCCACAGCCCCUUCUGCUCCACACUUCCUGCCUCCAUAGGACCCGGCCCCUCUCCCCUCGAACUCAGCUUCAGCUGGGCCAGCCCUCCGCCAGGUGCAGCCAGGGCCGGAGGAGCAGCGCGGCCUCCUGGAGCCGGGGCUGAGGAUCCUGCUGUGGACGCUGCGAGGGGCUCUCCUGCUGGCCAUGGCGCUGGGGGGCUGGAGCUGUUACUGCUCUGGGAGGAGGCGUGGGCAGGUGCGGGAGUGGAUCUGGACCCCCCGACGCUGGAGAUCAGCUUGGGGCGCAGCCAGAGGACGCGGCAGAGGGACUGGCGGGGCCGUCCCUGCUGCGCGGCUAGAGAAGGGGAUCCCAGUGAGCACGGCCCAUGGAGCUGCCUGUGCAUCGCGCCUCGCUCUCACCGGGGGCCCCCGGCCGAACUGCUGAUGGGUCCAUCCCUGCGUCUGUCAGUCCUGCCUCCCCAGCGAGGUCUCAGCAGCAUCCCCGCUCCCCAAGAUCUGGGUGUCAAUAAAAGCUGCCCAUCCCCCUUCCUGUGCGGCAGACACAAGACGCCCCUGUAUCUCCCUCUGGCGCUUUCAUGCAAACCCUCAGAUUCAGCCCCACAGGGCCUUGCUCCGGCCCCUCACUCCUGAGUGUGGCUGGAAUGUGGUUCCCCCCUCACUCUGGCCCCACACAAAUGGCUGGCCAGUGCCCAGACCAGAGCAAUAAACUGUCUCUCUGGACUCCGUG